rnacentral:rRNA from 1 species
AGCGGAGGAAAAGAAACUAACAAGGAUUCCCUUAGUAACGGCGAGUGAACCGGGAAAAGCUCAAAUUUGUAAUCUGGCUGUCUUCGAUAGUCCGAGUUGUAAUCUAUAGACGUGUUUUCCGUGCUGGACCGUAUCUAAGUCCCUUGGAACAGGGUAUCAAAGAGGGUGACAAUCCCGUGCUUGAUACGACCACCAGUGCUCUGUGAUACACGCUCUACGAGUCGAGUUGUUUGGGAAUGCAGCUCAAAAUGGGUGGUAAAUUCCAUCUAAAGCUAAAUAUUGGCGAGAGACCGAUAGCGAACAAGUACCGUGAGGGAAAGAUGAAAAGCACUUUGGAAAGAGAGUUAAACAGUACGUGAAAUUGUUGAAAGGGAAACGAUUGAAGUCAGUCGUGUUCUUUGGAUUCAGCUAGUUCUUCUAGUCUACUUCCUUUGAACGGGUCAACAUCAGUUUUGUCCGGUGGAUAAAGAUAGUAGGAAUGUAGCUCCCUCGGGAGUGUUAUAGACUAUUAUUGCAUGCACUGGGUGAGACUGAGGACUGCAGCUCGCCUUUUGGCCGACCUUCGGGUACGUUCGAGCUUAGGAUGUUGACAUAAUGGCUUUAAACGACCCGUCUUGAAACACGGACCA